rnacentral:rRNA from 1 species
CCAAUAGCGUAUAUUAAAGUUGUUGCAGUUAAAAAGCUCGUAGUUGAAUUUCGGGGUUAGCAGGUCGGUCGUGCCAUCGGUAUGAACUGGCCUCGCUGAUCCCUCCCUCUUGACGAACUGUGAUGCCAUUAAUUUGGUGUCGCAGGGAAUCAGGACUGUUACUUUGAAAAAAUUAGAGUGUUUAAAGCAGGAUAACGCUUGAAUACAUUAGCAUGGAAUAAUGAAAUAGGAAGUUUGAUCCUAUUUUGUUGGUUUCUAGGAUUGACGUAAUGAUUAAUAGGGAUAGUUGGGGGCAUUAGUAUUCAAUUGUCAGAGGUGAAAUUCUUGGAUUUAUUGAAGACUAACUACUGCGAAAGCAUUUGCCAAGGAUGUUUUCAUUAAUCAAGAACGAAAGUUAGGGGAUCGAAGACGAUCAGAUACCGUCGUAGUCUUAACCAUAAACUAUGCCGACUAGGGAUCGGAUGAUGUUAAUUUUUUAAUGACUCAUUCGGCGCCUUACG